rnacentral:sRNA from 1 species
UUUUGCCCCAGAUAGCAGUGAAAAGCUUCGAGAAUUAGUAAUCUAUUUUUUUCUUGAGGCGGCAGAGCGACCGGAGGAAGCUCCUGCAGGUUCAUUAGAAAAAAAGAUUGCUAAUCGAGAACUUGCAACGAAUAGCUGGAAUAGGC